rnacentral:rRNA from 1 species
UUUUUUUUUCCCGAAAUUUUAAGAUAUAUAACAAAAUUACAUUUAAUGUUUUAAGAUUAUUAUUAAUUUUGUUAUAGUGAAUAUAUUUUAUUCAAUUAAAAAUAUCUGGUUUUUUUAUAAAUAAAUUUAAUUUAUGAUUAUUUUAAGUGAAAUAUUAUAUUUUGUUAUAAUCUUCAAUUUUCUAGGAUAAGCUAGAUGAUUUUUCUAUAAAUUAGAUUUAUAUUGAAUUUAAGGUAGGUUUAAUAAUAUCCAUCAUUUAUUUUUUUAUAAUUAUUUUUUAUAUAAAAUUUUAUAUAAUUUUGUUUUAGAUUUUUAUAAAAAUUUAUAUUUUAAUAUUUAAAAUAUUGUAAUUAUGAUAAAAUUAGUAUUUUAUACAAAUAAAAUAUAGUAAUUCGGCAAAUGUUAUUUUCGCCUGUUUAACAAAAACAUGGUCUUUUGUUUAUAUAAAAGAUCUAACCUGCCCUAUGAUUUAUUUUAAAUGGCUGCAGUAUUUUGACUGUACAAAGGUAGCAUAAUCAUUUGUCUUUUAAUUGAAGGCUGGUAUGAAUGGUUGGAUGAAAAAUAUACUUUCUUUAUUUUAUAAAAAUAAAUUAACUUUUUAGUCAAAAGGCUAAGAUUUUAUUAUAGGACGAGAAGACCCUAUAGAGCUUUAUUUUCUUUUUAUAUAAUUUUUUUAGUUUUCAAUAAGUUUAUAUAUUUAUGUUAAUUAUGUUGGGGUGACAGAAAAAAUAAUAUAACUUUUUCUACUUUUUUCAUUUAUGUAUGUUGUUUUUGAUCCUAUAUUAUAGAUAAUAAGAUUAAGUUACCUUAGGGAUAACAGCGUUAUUUUCUUAAAAAGUUCUUAUCGAUAAGAAAGUUUGCGACCUCGAUGUUGGAUUAAAAUAAGUGAUAGGAGCAGAAUAUUAUUUACUAGGUCUGUUCGACCUUUAAAUUUUUACAUGAUCUGAGUUCAGACCGGCGUGAGCCAGGU